ACGAACGCUGGCGGCGUGCUUAACACAUGCAAGUCGAACGGAAAGGCCCUGCUUGCAGGGUGCUCGAGUGGCGAACGGGUGAGUAACACGUGGGUGAUCUGCCCCUUACUUUGGGAUAAGCCUGGGAAACUGGGUCUAAUACUGGAUAGGACCAUGCUGUAGGUGGUGUGGUGGAAAGAUUAGUUUCGGUAAGGGAUGAGCUCGCGGCCUAUCAGCUUGUUGGUGGGGUAAUGGCCCACCAAGGCGUCGACGGGUAGCCGGCCUGAGAGGGUGGACGGCCACAUUGGGACUGAGAUACGGCCCAGACUCCUACGGGAGGCAGCAGUGGGGAAUAUUGCACAAUGGGCGCAAGCCUGAUGCAGCGACGCCGCGUGGGGGAUGACGGCCUUCGGGUUGUAAACUCCUUUCAGCCAUGACGAAGCCCUUGUGGUGACGGUAGUGGUAGAAGAAGCACCGGCUAACUACGUG
rnacentral:rRNA from 1 species